UCAGAGGUUGACUUUGCACACUUCGAAUCUGCUUGGGACCAUGGAAACCGCGCUUCACUUAGAUUAUUCCCUGACAUACUUACAUAGCUUCAGCUUCGUCUUGAACCUGAGACUCGCUCUUGUCUUUACAGCGACUUGGCUAGCAGUUUGGGUGUUACAGGAUCAGCUGGGCAUUGGUGGCCGAGUCUCUCGUUCAGUUAACUUACCCCCAGGCCCAUGGGGCUGGCCUGUGCUGGGUAUCCUACCGUCUCUUGGUGUCACUGCUCCCCACCAGCGGUUAGCGGAGUUCGCUACCAAGUAUGGCGGUGUAUUCACCUGUUACUUCGGCGGACAUAGGGUGGUGGUGUUGGGAAACUAUGACUGCAUUGUUCAGGCGCUUGGCAAGUCUGGGGAUGUGUUCAGUGACCGACCAAGACUGACCAUGUUCACUGAGGUGGGCGGAGGAAGAGGAGUGGCAGGUGCAUACUUUGGCAAGCAAUGGAAGGAGCAGAGGGCCUGGACCUUCAACAUUCUUCGUGGUUUGGGACUCGGUAAGGACAACUUUGAGUCCAACAUUACUGAGGAGGUGGGUCAUCUGUGUGAUCGUGUGAACGCCUAUCAGAGCGAAGCAUUUGACCCAUGUCUUUCUCUGAACACAGCUGUAUCGAACAUCAUUUGCUCUAUUGUGUACGGCACACGCUUUGAUUACGACAACACCACAUUUAAGCGGUUGCUGACCCUUCUUCAGGAGAACUUUGAGCUGGUCGGACUGGCUGGAGUGGUCAACUUCUUCCCGGUCCUCAAGCACAUUCCUCUGUGCGGCUUUGGUAAGUUCCUCGCCAACGUCCGGGAGCUCAACUCCUGUCUGUUCUCUAAGUCCAUCAGUGACCAUCGGCUGACUUUCGACCAAGGUAGAAUCCGGGAUUUCAUCGAUGCCUACCUGAACGAGAUGUGUGGGCGCGAUAGUGGUGAGAACGAGGUGGGGUCAUCCUCGUUUACCGAGGAGAACUUGACCUGGGUCAUCGGUGAUCUGUUUGCUGUAGGCACUGAGACCACCGCCCUAACAUUGCGCUGGGCCUUGCUGUAUAUGGUGACACACACUAACGUCCAACAGAAAGUACAGCAGGAAUUAGAUGAGGUAGUCGGGCGUACCCGUUUGCCAUCCCUGGAGGAGCGACCCCGUCUUAACUACACCCAUGCUGUUAUAAACGAGAUACAACGUGUCAGAUACAUAGCUGCAAUAACUGUGCCACGGGCGACGACUGAGGACACCAAGCUGAAUGGCUAUGACAUACCGAAAGGGACCACUAUCAUGCCUGUCAUGUGGGCAGUCAUGCACGAUCCGAAGGUCUGGCCACACCCUGAUGAGUUCCAGCCUGAGCGAUUCUUGGACGAUAGAGGGCAGUAUCACAAACCAGAACAUUUCUUGCCUUAUGGUACAGGUCGUCGCAUGUGUCCUGGUGAGCGAUUGGCUCGAAUGGAACUCUUCCUGUUCUUCACCCACCUUCUUCAUCGGUUUAGCUUCAGUCUACCGUUGGGGGCGCCACAGCCAUCUCUGAGUGGACGAAUGGGGAUAACGCUGGCGCCUCAGCCCUACCACCUAGUUGCUCGCAGCAGGCCACUGAAAGAGUCUGGGUGACCAACUUGUACAUAGCUUGACGUCUUGGUCGCAUAUUCUUUUGAAACCCACUGUGUUGUAUAUAGAUACAAGGGCUCUGAAAGCGGCUAAUCUUUCCCCCAAACAUUUGUUUAACAAACACCAGUUUAUUGAACAACCAUGGACGCUGAAGUGCUGACCUCUCAUCACUGGUCUGAAAUAAUAAUAUGACACACAAUUCAUCCGAUCAGAGCUCCAGGAAAGUGACCAUCACGCCCUCAUUGGAGUUAGUCGGUGCAAACUCGAGCUGUUUCUUUGCCAUUCUAUCCAUGCUGAAUGAUACUACUCUUUGCACUUUAAAUAUUUUGUAGAUUGUGCUCGAAACUACUUCGACCAAAAGAAGUCUGCAUGGCUUAAUAAGCGCUAUCUGUCGAAAUACUUCAGCACAUUUCAUGAAAGGUUCUUCCAACAAGAAUCAUCGAAAAUCGUCUAGAAAUUGCGCAUGCAUACUAGGGUAUCGUGAUAAUUUCAAAAAGUUUGAUUUCUUCAGAUUUGAAUAGACAAAAAUUAUGUUUUGGCAAUAUUUAAGACCUACCAUGUAGGAAAAAUAUCACAAAUUGGUCUGGUUAACCUAAAAUGGAUUGAAGUUUUUCAUUACAAAUUUAAGUCAUGCUUUUUUGUUAGUUACAUUUAAAUCGUAGAUUCCUUUCCUGAGGAUUUUUUUCUUGUGUGCCUUUUACCUUGUCCGAGACGUCUCUGUGACGUCCUAUUGUUCUGGUAUCCCACAAGACUCCAUAAACACGCUGCGCAGUUGGAAGGAAUUCAGGCACAAAAGGCCGCUCGCGUACUUAAACAUUAGGGUGCGAAACGCUGUUUUUAAAAUGCUCCCAUAUGAAUCAGAGUUACUUUCCUACGUUGAAAUUCCAACCGAAUGUCCCACAAUAUAAACAAUUCAAUUGUCGUGCAUUGUUGUGGAGGCUUUUACACCUUAAGAGUCUCCACAGACAUGCAAACAAAACACCGUCUCCACAAGAAUACAAAUUCGUGUUUGUUUGUUCGUGUUCAGCAUGAAUCAGCAACCUUUGAUAGUCACAUACUGACUAUGCUAUCAUAAACGAUGUUUAGACACUUUCAAUUGUAAGACAAGCCCAACGCCCAGAUCCAGGCAAGAAUUCCUUUUAUAUCCAGCUUCGUAGAAACAGACAACAUGUGCACCCAGUUUUCAUUAACGAUUCUUGUGAUUGAUUUUACAUUUUAAUUACCCAGGACUAAUCUAGAGACCCAUGCUGCAUGAAAACGAAUCGAAAAAAGGCAAACAUUUGUGUAUGCAUAUAGUGUAUACUUCUUAAGUUCAAGCAGUGAUGUCUUGUUUUGAGGAGGGCUGAUGUGGUAUUGAUGUAUUAUCAAUGUUAGGAUGUUGGGUGUAUCCAAGUUUAUGGCUGUGGUAUGGAUCAUCUGCCAUGAGUGGGAGGUUACAAAGACGUAGCUGUGCACUCCAGCAGUACGUUGAAGUUACUAAAGCAUCAAUUCUCACUAUCGGGUUCUCACGUUCUGUGUCUUUUUAAUUAAUUGUCUGAAGCAAAAUGUAGAUAUCUAGGAAGAGGUUUCUUCAGGCAGUCAUUGUUGCUGACUUUGAAGAUCAUCUUACACUUUUAAAAUUACGUCCUUGUGCCAGUUGUUAGCACGAAGAAUUGUACCUUUAUGCUUACCCUGGAGAGACAUAAAUCUUCACAACUAGUCUUGAAUAUGUACGUCCCUUCAGGGCCACCAUACACCUUCGUGUAUGUUCCAGCGCAGCAACCUCCAAAUAUUGCUCUUGUACGACUAGCUUCUACUGUGAUCAACCACUAGUCUACAAGUUGUGUGGUACGCUGUAUUGUAAUUUCAACAGGCAAAGGAACUAGUGACAGGUAAUGAAUCUCCAGACACAUCUUAAGGACAAAGGAAAGCAAGAGAGAAUUAAAUGCGCCAUAGGUACAUUUUAUAAGAGAGUCAUGUGAACCUCGCGGCUGUCAAAGCACAAUGCU
rnacentral:misc_RNA from 1 species